UUUUCGGAGCUGGGGACCGAACCCAGGGCCUUGAGCUUGCUAGGCAAGUGCUCUACCACUGAGCUAAAUCCCCAACCCCAGUAGUUCAUACCCUUAACCACUGAGCCAUCUCUCCAGCUUUCACUCUGAAACUACAUUGAGUGUGUGUGUGUGUGUGUGUGUGUGUGUGUGUGUGUGUGUGCGCGCGUGCACGCAUGCAAUGUUCGGGUACGUGUACACAAUGGCAAACGGGGGAAGGUCAGAGAACAAUUUUCAGGAGAAAUUCUCUUUCUACUGUGUGGGUCCAGGAAUUCAGCUAAGGUUAUUAGCCUUGGCAGUAUGGAUCUUACUGCUAAGACCUCUUGCCAGCCUGUAUCAUUCAUUGUUAAGGGUGGUGAGGUGCCCAAGACCUAAGAGAUGUAACAAUUCUUUCCAUUAAAGCUGUGGCUGAGUGAAGCUCAGGGCUCCUUCUAACUGCAGUACCCAUUAUUUUUCAACUCUGGCCAACGAAGUCCCUUACACCUUGAGUCUGUGAACCCUGGCUUUCAGAAAGCUCUUCUCUAAGCUGUCUUGUUAUUUCUGAACCAAAACAUGGUCAUCAAGUGAAUGAAAACACCUAGUGUUUUUUUCUUCAUAAAGGCUCAGGGAACUAAUUCUUAAACCCAGAAUCCCUGGGCAGGAGCUAAUUGUUCCCACUCACCUUAGAUUAAAUUUCAGAGCCUCUGGGGUACAGGGUUAGUCUAAAGCAAACCAUGAAGAAAAAACUCUAGUGGUUCUGUUGAUUUUGUAUCUUGUCAAAAAGGUUUCUAGAGUCUCUAUAGUGACG
rnacentral:lncRNA from 1 species